GUCACUGGCAAGAGAAUUCAAGGGGUAUGUGUUUCAAUGAUCUAAUCUAAGCUUAGUUGCUUCAAUUUUUUUCUUUUCAUUUAUUGUUUUGUGGGUUAUUUCUGUAUCGACCUGAAUCGUGAGCAUCUAAUAUUGAUUGCAUCAAUUUGGUUUGUUUUUCUUGCAACUAUUGAGUGCUUGUGACUUCCAAUAAUGAAGAAUGCAUGCUGUUAUAUUUUUACUUUUUUGUUUUGGUUGUUUGCUAGAGGCUUCUUAUGGGCUCUUUGUGUUACUUAUUGUGUUCCUUGCUGCUUUAGGCAGUUAGAUUAUCAUCUAAAGUGAAAUUUAGUUUUGGGGAUUUGAGUGGUCAGCUGCUCUUGGAUAGUCUAGUUCGUUUGAUCACAUUCAAGCCUUUUCUUAAUUUGUUUUGGGAAUGGAUUGAGGAAGACUUAUAUUUCAAUCAACUGUUACUCCACUAGUUUUAAUCUUUUCUUGGUUUUCAAAAUUUGCAAGUGCAUGUUUGUUUUGUUCCAAAUCCUAAAAGUUGGAUUGUUGCUUAGUCUUUUGUGAAGUGGAAAUCUUUUCUAGUAGUGUGUUGAUUCUGUUGAAGAUGUAAUUAUGAUAAUAAAUGCUUAUACACAUGCUUUUACUUGAGUUUUUUCUUUUAUAUAUAAUUUUUUAAAACUGUUAGAUAUCCAUUACUCACUGCAGUUUGUCAUGUUAUACGUAUUCCAUCAUUUCUUAAGGAAUAUUUUGGACGAAAUGGUGGACAAAAUAAACAGUUUAUAACCCUUUUGGAAUGGGUGUACAAUUCUAAGUUUCAAAAAUUUCAACUGUUUGGAUUUUAUCUCACAGAAAUAUAGGACUUGAACCAUGAUAUUAUUUUCAUCCUUUAAAAUGUAAAGGAAUGAGUUCCAACCAAUACCCAUACUUUACCUUCUUUAGACAGCCUUCUCUGUAAGCCUUGUUGUCCUAUGUUGUGCUUGCAGUUAGUUUUAUCCCAUACACUGUUGUAUUAUACUUCUAUUAAUCUAAAGUGCAUUGUUCUUUUUCGGAUAAAUCAUUUUCACUGCUAUACAUUUUUUGAUUGCUCAUAUAAUGUUGAAUUUUGUUAUUAGUAAAUGUGUUUCUGCAGAGUGUUGAUUUUGUGCCCUUAGAUUGUUUUGGAAUUUAUGUCAUUUUCAUUAUUUUGUGUUCGUUUUAGGAUUUCUUAUGCCGCUUCCACUUUUUGAGUAGACAAUUAUAUGUACAGUCAAAGAGUUUAUAAACACUAUGAAAUCUUUACAGAGCCUCCUUACCAUUUGUUUUUUUUACUUCAUUGUAGAUUCCUCACUUGAGACCUGCUG
rnacentral:misc_RNA from 1 species